UGGGGCUCUGCGGCGAAAUAUAACAUAUGUCCCAGGGCCUAGAUUUUCGAAGCCGUCUUAGCGCUAAAACAGUCUUAAGUUAAUGUUAAUGUAUGGCACUUACGACUAUCUUAGCGCUAAGAGAGCUU